GGGAAGCAAUGCAAUGAAUGUUCUAGUUUGCCUUAGAGAUUGGAUUAGAGUGGAACGAAGAAAUCAAGGAAUGGAAGCGGAGCCGAACGACGAGCAGAGACUUGAAGAAAUUAUGACUUCACGGGAUGGAAUAAAGAAAUCAAGGAAUGGAAGCGGAGCCGAACGGCGAGUAGAGACUUGAAGAAAUUAUGACUUCCCGGGAGAACUCAACAGAAUCAAAUCCAAUGCAUGGUUUUGCCCCCG
rnacentral:lncRNA from 1 species